CUCCUGCAACGCGGCACGGCUUCACCCCGCCCGCCAAUCGCCAUGCUCCCCGCCGCCCUCGUCCCCUCGCCGCCGGGCCGCCUGCUCGCCCCCGGCCCUCUCCGCUGCCACGCCCCGACCCAGCACACCUCCGCCGCCGCCGCCGGGGCCGCGGCCCGCGGCCUCCUCCUCCGCGGCGCGGGCUCCCCCGUCGUCAAGCGCGCCCCAGACGGCGGCGGGUGGCUCCUCUGGCACCAGUCCGGCGCGCGCGUGGCGCUCGCCACCUCCCAGGACGGGCUCCGCUGGAGCGCUCCCGUCUCCCCGGACCCGCUGCUGCCCUCCGAGGACUGGUGGGCGUUCGACACCGCCGCCGUCCGCCCCUCCGACGUCCUCCUCAUCUCCGGCCCCGCCGCGUCCUCGCGCCGCUUCCCGUCCUCCGCGGUCUACUGGCUCUACUACGCGGGCUCCACCGACGGGCGGUUCGGCUCCGCGUUCCCCGCCGCGGACGUCCCCGUGCUGCCCGGGCUCGCCAUCAGCCAGGACGGCCGCAACUGGGCGCGCAUCGAGGGGGCCCACCACACCGGCGCGCUGCUCGGCGUCGGGGAGGAGGGGGUGGAACCCCGCGGGUGGGAGGCGCGCUGCAUUGCCGCGCCCAAGGUGGUGAUGCACGCAGACGGGGACCUGCGGAUGUACUACCACUCGUUCGAUGAAAUGUCGCAGCAGCACGCGAUCGGUCUGGCGAGAUCCAGGGAUGGCAUCCGGUGGACCAAGAUGGGGAAGGUGCUCGAGGGGGGCCGUGCUGGAUCGUUUGAUGAGUGCGGGGUGCGGCACGGACACGUUGUCCGUGACCGUGCCGCCGGGCGGUAUGUCAUGGUGUAUGAGGGUGUUGAUGCGGAUGGGAGGGUGAGCAUUGGAAUGGCCGUGUCGGAGGACGGCUUGAAAGGCUGGAGGCGGUCCAGCGAGAUGCCAGUGCUGUGCCCGUCUGAGGAGGACGAAGGGUGGGAUGGUGCUGGGGUUGGUUCACCGUACUUGGUGCAAAUGGAUGGGGCCUAUGACUGGAGACUGUAUUACAUGGGUGUUGGGGGGGAUGGCGAGGCUUCGAUCGGGAUGGCGUAUUCAGAGGGCCAGGCUCUUCAGAAAUUCGAGAAGUGUGAUGCUGUUCUCAUGUAAGGUUGUACCCUUAGUUUCUGCUGGCUCUUUUGCACCAGAUGCAAUAGCUCGUAGCUGAUGUUUUUUCACAUUAAUGGUGACGUUCCACCUUGAAAGCCUGAAAAAGAAAAGGAAUUUUUACAUCAUGUGAACUUGUAGCAUAUGCAAGCAGUGUGGUUGAAGCGCUCGCGGAUUUCUGGCGACUACUACUAUGGGUAGUAGUUAGUUCAACUGAAAGUGUCUUAAUCUGUACCCACAGUUUUUCGUAUAUAAGGGAUCCAAUGAAGCUGUUGAACAAAGUGGUACAGUCUUCCUCUGGCUCAAGAGGUUGAUCUGUUUUGAGAGGCCAUGUGCAGAGGGAAGGACCUGUACUGUAGUCUCAAUAAUGCAAUGUUGCAUAGUUAUUUCAACUGGGUCAUGGUUGUCCUUUCUUCCUUCGUUGCGAGGCAGCAGUCUGACAAGAACAGACAGUGCACUUCAUCUUGGCAGAAAGAAGUCACAGAAGAUACUUAUGGUGUUGCAGCAAAAGGAUCGCUAAUACUCUGAACACUUCAGAGGAUAUCAUCUACUGCAACAAUCUGGAGCUGACUAAUUUCAUUGGUACUCACCUGUUACCAAGAAGAGCAUGAAGUUGGAUGAUGGUCUGCUCUUCCUGCAAGCUGAACUUGCCCCUCUUGAUGUCCGGCCUCAGGCAGUGAUCGCCAGCUCCCAUGGCCGUGCUCCUCAAUGUAGACAAGCAGCUUCUGAUCCUCCUCUGGCGUCCAUGGACCUUUCUUCAGGCCAAUCUUCUCACAGCAUGGUGAUCGCCCCAUUAAAGCAGUGUGGUGUGUUAUCGUUCUGAAUUCAAGCUGACAGCUGAGCUGAGUGCAGAGGGGCUGGAGGAUAUAUAGAGCAGGAUGAGAAGAAGGCAAGAUGCACUGCUACUACUAUAAAUCAUUAGCAUGAUAGGAGGUAUGACACUGAAUUUUCCAUGUCUUAUCAUGACAUAAAUGUCCUUAUGUUGGUUUGCUUCAGUUUGGCUACGAGGUACAUGUAGACGUACAGGUCCUUGUUGAUCUACUUGAACGUAAGAAUACAGUAACAAACAAUUUCCUUCAUUUGAGGGUCAGUUUAACACUGAGGUCCA